CCAGACACAGAUGUUCCUGAGUAUGAGGAGGAAAAGGAGGAGGAGGAAGACACAGAUGAAUAUACAUGUAGUUCAUCAGCGAGUGACGAAGAAGAACCUGAGAGAAAUGGUGGAAAUGUCUUUCACUUGCAAGGGCGACACAUCAUAGACAUUAAUUUUUUAAACCAAGAGCUGGGUAAAGGAUGCCAUUCAUGCAGGGAACCUUUACAGUUGUCUUCUUGCAUAUGAGAUACCAGAUAUGGACUAGGUAGUUUACUUCACAUGAAAUGUGUACACUAUCUAAAUGUUACACUUGUCCCCACUGGGAAAAGGCAUGGCCAAAAUGUAUGGGAUGUGAAUUCCCAA